rnacentral:tRNA from 1 species
GGACAGAUGGGUGAGCUGGCUGAAACCACAUCCCUGCUAAGGAUGCGUAUGGGUAACUGUACCGAGGGUUCGAAUCCCUCUCUGUCCACCA